rnacentral:rRNA from 1 species
ACGAACGCUGGCGGCGCGCCUAACACAUGCAAGUCGAACGAGAGAUGAGGAGCUUGCUCUUCAAAUCGAGUGGCGAACGGGUGAGUAACGCGUGAGGAACCUGCCUCAAAGAGGGGGACAACAGUUGGAAACGACUGCUAAUACCGCAUAAGCCCACGGCUCGGCAUCGAGCAGAGGGAAAAGGAGUAAUCCGCUUUGAGAUGGCCUCGCGUCCGAUUAGCUAGUUGGUGAGGUAACGGCCCACCAAGGCGACGAUCGGUAGCCGGACUGAGAGGUUGAACGGCCACAUUGGGACUGAGACACGGCCCAGACUCCUACGGGAGGCAGCAGUGGGGAAUAUUGCACAAUGGGGGAAACCCUGAUGCAGCGACGCCGCGUGGAGGAAGAAGGUCUUCGGAUUGUAAACUCCUGUUGUUGAGGAAGAUAAUGACGGUACUCAACAAGGAAGUGACGGCUAACUACGUGCCAGCAGCCGCGGUAAAACGUAGGUCACAAGCGUUGUCCGGAAUUACUGGGUGUAAAGGGAGCGCAGGCGGGAGAACAAGUUGGAAGUGAAAUCCAUGGGCUCAACCCAUGAACUGCUUUCAAAACUGUUUUUCUUGAGUAGUGCAGAGGUAGGCGGAAUUCCCGGUGUAGCGGUGGAAUGCGUAGAUAUCGGGAGGAACACCAGUGGCGAAGGCGGCCUACUGGGCACCAACUGACGCUGAGGCUCGAAAGUGUGGGUAGCAAACAGGAUUAGAUACCCUGGUAGUCCACACCGUAAACGAUGAUUACUAGGUGUUGGAGGAUUGACCCCUUCAGUGCCGCAGUUAACACAAUAAGUAAUCCACCUGGGGAGUACGACCGCAAGGUUGAAACUCAAAGGAAUUGACGGGGGCCCGCACAAGCAGUGGAGUAUGUGGUUUAAUUCGACGCAACGCGAAGAACCUUACCAAGUCUUGACAUCCCUUGACGAUGCUGGAAACAGUAUUUCUCUUCGGAGCAAGGAGACAGGUGGUGCAUGGUUGUCGUCAGCUCGUGUCGUGAGAUGUUGGGUUAAGUCCCGCAACGAGCGCAACCCUUAUGGUCAGUUACUACGCAAGAGGACUCUGGCCAGACUGCCGUUGACAAAACGGAGGAAGGUGGGGAUGACGUCAAAUCAUCAUGCCCUUUAUGACUUGGGCUACACACGUACUACAAUGGCGUUAAACAAAGAGAAGCAAGACCGCGAGGUGGAGCAAAACUCAGAAACAACGUCCCAGUUCGGACUGCAGGCUGCAACUCGCCUGCACGAAGUCGGAAUUGCUAGUAAUCGUGGAUCAGCAUGCCACGGUGAAUACGUUCCCGGGCCUUGUACACACCGCCCGUCACACCAUGGGAGUUGGUAACGCCCGAAGUCAGUGACCCAACCUUUCAGGAGGGAGCUGCCGAAGGCGGGACCGAUAACUGGGGUG